AUCCGGCACUCCGAGGUUUCGAGACCCAAGACUUCAGGCCGCCCCUCCGGGCGGCCUUUUUUCUGUUUCCCG
rnacentral:sRNA from 3 species